AGAGUUUGAUCCUGGCUCAGGACGAACGCUGGCGGCGUGCUUAACACAUGCAAGUCGAACGAUGAAGCCCUUCGGGGUGGAUUAGUGGCGAACGGGUGAGUAACACGUGGGCAAUCUGCCCUUCACUCUGGGACAAGCCCUGGAAACGGGGUCUAAUACCGGAUAACACCUGCCCGGGCAUCCGGGUGGGUUAAAAGCUCCGGCGGUGAAGGAUGAGCCCGCGGCCUAUCAGCUUGUUGGUGAGGUAGUGGCUCACCAAGGCGACGACGGGUAGCCGGCCUGAGAGGGCGACCGGCCACACUGGGACUGAGACACGGCCCAGACUCCUACGGGAGGCAGCAGUGGGGAAUAUUGCACAGUGGGCGAAAGCCUGAUGCAGCGACGCCGCGUGAGGGAUGACGGCCUUCGGGUUGUAAACCUCUUUCAGCAGGGAAGAAGCGAAAGUGACGGUACCUGCAGAAGAAGCGCCGGCUAACUACGUGCCAGCAGCCGCGGUA
rnacentral:rRNA from 1 species